GAGCCUUAUAAAGAGGAGAGAACCACGAUACAGGUUUCCCUCCAUCAAGGUUAAGUACAUCUUGAAGUCUCCAUGUUCAGAGAGAACGCAGUUGAUUGAUUCAACCACACUAACAAGAAGAACGGUUGCUGUUUAACUAAAAGGUGAGUAGAGGCAUAACAUCUACGUCAAAAUUUAGAAAAAUAGCAUACUCUUUGUUAAUUUAUAUCC
rnacentral:lncRNA from 12 species